rnacentral:rRNA from 1 species
AUACGUAGGGGGCGAGCGUUGUCCGGAAUGAUUGGGCGUAAAGGGCGCGUAGGCGGCCCGGUAAGUCUGGAGUGAAAGUCCUGUUUUUAAGAUGGGAAUUGCUUUGGAUACUGUCGGGCUUGAGUGCAGGAGAGGUAAGUGGAAUUCCCAGUGUAGCGGUGAAAUGCGUAGAGACUGGGAGGAACACCAGUGGCGAAGGCGACUUACUGGACUGUAACUGACGCUGAGGCGCGAAAGUGUGGGGAGCAAACAGGAUUAGAUACCCUGGUAGUCCACACUGUAAACGAUGAAUGCUAGGUGUAGGGGGUAUCGACCCCUUCUGUGCCGCAGUCAACACAAUAAGCAUUCCGCCUGGGGAGUACGGCCGCAAGGUUGAAACUCAAAUGAAUUGACGGGG